AUGAAUGAUACCGUAUCCAUCUAACUGUCCUCACCAAGAAGUUCAUGACUAACAGUUUCUUCGGAGGAAACACACAGUCAUUGAUGUCCUUCGCCCCGGGAAAGCAACAGUACCAAAGACAGACGUAGAGGAAAAGCUAUCCACAAAGUACAAGACAAUGCCAGAUGUCAUCUUUGUAUUUGAAUUCAGAACCCACUUUGAUGGUGGCAGGGCAGCUGGCCUCCUGUGAUCCAUGAGUCUUUGGCUUAGUCAAGGAAGAAAUGAGCCUAAACACAGACGUGCAAGACUUGGCUUUGGCUAGAGGAAGACUUCCAGGGAAACAAUGAAAGGAAUGUGGAACCGGAUGGGGAAGACGGGGACAGGGAACACAGCAAACCAAAGCUGGUGCUAGCGGAAAGUAGAAA
rnacentral:lncRNA from 1 species